rnacentral:rRNA from 1 species
UACGGGGGGGGCAAGCGUUGUUCGGAAUUACUGGGCGUAAAGGGCUCGUAGGCGGCCAACUAAGUCAGACGUGAAAUCCCCCGGCUUAACCAGGGAACUGCGUCUGAUACUGGAUGGCUUGAGUUUGGGAGAGGGAUGCGGAAUUCCAGGUGUAGCGGUGAAAUGCGUAGAUAUCUGGAGGAACACCGGUGGCGAAGGCGGGUCUCUGGGCCGAUACUGACGCUGAGGUGCGAAAGCGUGGGGAGCAAACAG